GAUAAAAAGAGGGUUUCAGAUCCCCUGAAACUGGAGGGACAGCUGGUUUUUGAACUAAAAUGUAGGUACUGGGAACUGAACCCAGGUCCUAUGCAAAAGCAAACAAGGAAUUUGGAAUUCUUAACAACUUAACCACUGGGCCAUCUCUCCUCUCCUGCCUUUUUUUUUUUUUUUUUUUUUUUUUUGGAAAGAGAAAGAGUCACAGUUUUCUGCUGCCCAGUCUGGCUAUAAAUUUCUGGGCUCAAGCAACCAUAUCUCAGCCUCUAAGUAGCUGGGAUUGCAGGUGGGCCGUCACCUGCUUUUAUUUUUUUAUUUUGAGGGAAGGGAUGAGACAGAGUCUCUCUGCACAGCUCUAGCUGUCCUAGAAUUCAAAAUGUAAGCUAGGCUGGCCUCAAGCUUACAGAAAUCUACCUGCCUCAGCUUCCCACGAGCCUGGACUGCAGAUGGGCCACCGCCUACUCUGAAACUCUUCAUAUCCCUGUCCUUACCAGAAAGUCAUAUGUCCCAGGAAUCUGAGAAAGAUCUGAGACCUUGGGCACACCCUCUGGUACUCCAGAGUCCUAGCCUGUGGUGUGACAGUAAGGCCACCUCCCUCUGGGGUUUCUGGAAAGAUUAGUGAGCGAAUAGUGGGGAGAAGUGUUUGGAGACUGUGAUAAGAACCCUAGAAGACACACAAAACAAAUGAUAGUUCUUUCAAAAAAAUUGUAAUACAUAACAAAACCACCAAAAAAUUGUCUAAUCCUCUGCCACUGGAGGAGAUUAAAGACUCAAACAGCUGUCUCACUUGUCUGACACUUAUCCAGCCCCAAAUGCCUUCGGGGACUCAAACCGUGAUGUGUGUGCCAAACCCUGAACUUCAGCCCCAGGGCAAGGGAGGACAGUAAGCAGGGCCAGUCUGGCAGGCGGGCAGUGGGGCAGUGUGGAGUCCAGAAUCCCAGUGAGCUGUGCAUAGAAGGGUGAGGACAGGCCACAGCAGACCAGAAAGAAGCCACCCACUAGGCCCCACUAGGCCAGGGCUCUAGAGUACCAGGAGCCAGCAGGGAUCCAAGAGGUUCAAGGUGCACUGGCUCCUCCCAGGAGGAUCAAGCAUGUGACUAGAAUGACAAGACUCUCCUGCUGACACCCCCUCCCCCCGCCCUGGGCAAAGCUGCCAUUGUUCACAGGGACAGCAGAGGUGAGUCACUGUGACAUUGUCCACCACUCUAUCAGCAGGAAACAACUGGACUGGCCAAUACACCAAAUGCAGGAAACCUCAGUCUUCCCCACCCCUCUCCCUGGCCCUUCCCUGUUUAGAUACCCAGCAUCCUGCCUGCCUGGCCCCUAGAGAGCCCUGGCCAGCCUCAGGCAUCCAUCCCGAGCAGACAGCUCCGCUUCCUGCCUCCCUGUUUAGGAGACAAAACUCCAGCUGCAUUUUGGAGACUCUCUGAAGAGCAGAGAGCUGGUGCGUCCUGGAUGACACCAGCUGGCAAACAGGGUGAAGGGACAUGAAAACAGGCAACAGGCAGAACGAUGACACGGCACUAAGGCAGAAAAGACAUUUUCCCUAGACUCAGUCCGAGCAGGUGGGCACCAGCCCAAUGCCACAGCCCGUCCAGACAGAACAAGGACCAUUCCAUCCCUGAAGGGGGAGGAAAGGCUUCUUCCCAACUUCCUUAUCUACAGACUUGACACAGACUGGUACAGAUAAAGGCCCUUUCCAUGCUGGGAUUCAUAACCAGCUCAAAAAAACAGCAGGUGGUUUGUGGCCUCAAGCCAGACAGCCCCACCUGUGUCCUAUCUCUAAUGCUUCUUAGCUGUGUCCCCUGGAGCUCACUUUACUUGACGUCCUUUGAUGGAGGUCUACAGUAAGUGUCUGUGGGGGAUAGAAUGUAAAUUAGGGAGGCCAGGGUAGGCACGUCCCUGCACUGUCAAGACCAAAUGAUCCAGCACUUCAGUGGCAGAGGCAGGUGGAACUCCUUGAAUUCAAGGCCAGUGUAGUGAGUUCCAUGCCAGACAGGGCUAUGUAUACUGAGGUCUUGUUUCCAAAAUAAAUGAUAGAUAGAUAGAUAGAUAGAUAGAUAGAUAGAUAGAUAGAUAGAUAUACUGAGGUCUUGUUUCCAAAAUAAAUGAUAGAUAGAUAGAUAGAUAGAUAGAUCAAGUCUGUCAGGGUGGCCAUAACUUUCAACUUACCCAGCCCCAAUCCUCAUGUUUACAACUCUCUCCUGUAUUGAGGUAUGAGCUCUAACCCUGAACAGUAUCAUCAGAGCCCGAAUAUAUCCAUGUCUAUAUGGGACCCAUCGUAUUUUAAACCAGCCAGGGCUGGGCAUGGGGGCACACACCUGUAACGUAGCACCUGGGAGACAGGAAGCAGUAAGAUCAGGAGAUCAAGGUCAUCAUCUCUGACGACAGCGUGGAUGGAUUCCCGGCCAGCCUGGUUUUCAUGAGACUCUCUCUCAAAAGAAAACAAAGUCUCCCUCUCCUCAUCAUCUGAGGAUUACAGUAAAAAAGCAAACAACAACAGCAUAAAACCAGCCAAGUGUGGGGGAGGAGGUGAUGAGAUCAAGGCUGCCCAGGGUUUCAUGAAGCUGCUUUAAGAAGGUACUUGGUAAGCGACAAUUAACUUAGCAGAGCAGAAAGGGACUUCAGGAAGACCCACCCAAACUUUUCAUUCUCCCUAGAGGAAAUAUCACUUGACAAGACCCUGGGACUGAGCCACAACCUAGAAGGGAGCAGGUGACAAGUGCUGAGCUGUCCCCAGCCCCACGUAAGUUCCUUGAAUCCAAUCUCUCUUGCACAUGGACUUGUAGUAUUAUCACCCAAUGCUGGCCAGCUGUGCCUCAUCACGAAGCCCCUUCCCUGGGUGCACAUCUUUAUCCCAGGUGCAGAAGCACAUGGCCUCUCAGCAGGCAGGGGCUGAAUCAAGGUAUUCUGAUCUGUUGAAUUAUGGCGCCUUUCUUUGCCCCAGUCUCAUAGCUUAUACUGAGUGUGGCUCAUGGUCUGCACUCUAUACCCAGUCUAGCCCCCUAUUCUAUCUCAGCUUGAAGUAGGUGGGAAGAAAAGGCUGGGCGCAGGAAAAUACGGGGACAGAAAUACAAGGAAGGGCUGGAAAGAAUGAGUAAUACAUGGUACACAGUUCAGGCUGAGCAGGUGACCGGAGAACACAGGAUCUGGGCAGGUGGGCUCAGAAGGAAAGAUGGGGCUGGAGCAAGCCAGUGUUCCACAGCAGGAGAGGACUAGAGCUGCUGGCCUACUGCUUCCUGCCACUCUAGUGUCCUGAUGAGCCAGCAAGGAGCAGGUCCUGCAGGUUUAACCAGCUUGGUUCCAAAGCUCUGAAGUUCUGGGCAAAGGAGAAGCCCCACCCCUGGGACCCUGUUUGAACUUGUUCUUUCCCAAAAAAAUAAAUAAAUAAAGUGCCGCCCUUGAGGGCUCUAGGAAUUAGGAAUUUGGAAUUCUUCCUGCUCUCUAAAGCAUGCUGUAAAGGUUUCCAGUUCGCACCAGCUGAAAAGCAAAGCUCUGUGGAAGACAGAGAGCAACUUGGCGGAGCUACCCUCUCUCUCUCCUGAGGCAGGCAAUUCAAGUGGAAGAACUUCCAAGGCUGAAAGGCCCUUAGUGACCAGGCACAAAGUCCUGGAGUUACAGCAAGGCCCAGGCCCAGAUAGAGCUGCAAUGGGCCUGAGGUCACACAGCCAGUCAAGGUAGACUGGCACCAGGGCGGGGACCCGUGCCCACCAGGCCUCCCGGGCAGGGCACUUCAGCAAGGUUCUUUCACACGGGAAUAUUUCCCAGAACACGACAUGCUGUCUCCUGCAGCUCAUCUCUUCGGGGGCUCUUAGAAAAAUCUGUAUUUUGAACAAAAGCUCAAGGUCACCCACGCCUUUUGAUGCAGGUUUAUUUCUUUCAAACUUAAUGGCUGUAGAGAGGAGGAAGAUGUAAGAAGGGAACGGAAGCUCCAGCAUCGAGGGGGAAGCAGGUACGUCCUCUGCUGGGAGGACCACAGGUUAAAUACACUGUCCCGCCCCUCCAGGCAUGGGCAGGGUGGGAGGGAAGGAGGGGGGAGCUGGACUUCCACAGGUACACAUGUAAUCAUGUGAUUACCAGGCCUCCCCAAAUCAAAGGACAACUGAAUGCCCACAGGCUUCCCCUGGCUUAGAGCCAGGUUCUUAUGUGGGAUUGGGGAAGGGGGAGGGGGUCCCUCCAGGCUUCAGUUUGCUUUCUUGACUGUGUGGGGAGUUAAAAAGCCCCAUCCAAGCCUUGAGUUUCCCCUUAAAACACAUGCUAGGCACCCAACCAGCACAUGCAAGGUACAGCAAAAAUGGCUACUCAUGUCACUUUGUGUCUGUCCUGAUACUUAACCCACACCGUGUCACUUUCUAAACACCCUGAGGGCAAAGGACCCAGCAGCUCGUCCACCACGGGGGUGGGGGUGGGGCAUCAGAGAAUGCACUUGGGGAGUUUUCGCUUGUGGGACUUUAUGAACACAUUCCCCUUGCUUGUGGGUGAGCUAACCUAAGCGGCUGUGUCUGCCCACAGUACCCCGGGGUCAAACCCUGUGUCUAUGCCAUUCUGAAAGCUCUGUGUUCCUAUAGAAGGUUGCCAGACCCUCACCCUCAGCUUCCCCCUGCUGUCAAUCAGUGUUCAGCUUGUCUUCCCAGCCCACAAGUCAAGAGCUCAGUCAAUGUCACCUGGGUGAGCUUCACAGGUCACAGGUGAAGAGACUGUCUGGUGGCCUAAGGCUGGUUCUCAUGGUGUCUGGGUGGUGAUUUGCUGAGCAGAGUGGAUCAGAGAACAUGCUACGGAGGCCAAAGGCUGCCAAGGCAAAAGGGAAUCUGAUAAAGGACAGAGAUUAUGGAGUUCAUUACGGGAAAGCAACAACUCACUGCCUCUUGCCAGAAUCCAAGAUGUCAGUCAGUCAUUCAACAAAGCUUUGCAUGCCAGAGACCCAAAAGAAACAGAGCUGGCUGAUCAUGGACCAAAACUUCCAAAACCACGGAGCCACCAAAGAGCAUUUCCCCUCAUCAAUGCAUUCACCUCGGGUGUCUUUACACAGCAAAGGAAAAAAAGCUGACAAAUCUGCCAGACAGCCAGACCUGCUUCCUCCUUCCCUGAGAUUUCCACCGCUCCCACCACACACACACACACACACACACACACACACACACACACACACACACACACACGGCACAGGGCCAUGCCACUGCCUGCCCUGUGCCCUUAGCCUCCAGCCCCCUACCCC